GGAGAUGUGACUCAGUGGUAAAGUGCUUGCCUAGCAUGCAAGAGGUCCUGGGUUCAAUUCCUUAGUGCACCA
rnacentral:tRNA from 1 species